CAGUAUACAAUUAAAGAGUAUCCAUCAUGAACUACUUUUUUAUACAUAAAAAUAAAUCUUAUUACUCCUAUAAUAUAGAAAUCUCCUAUAUAAGUAACACGUACGAGCGUGCACGUAAAUAUCUGGUACCAUUAACGUAUUCUGUCUCCUUGAUGAUACUGACGAUGUUCACGUCAAACAUACCAGAUUGACGUCAUGAUAAGGUGUUAUCAUUGAAGAAGAAAUCUUGAUUUUCACCUAGUUCUUCAGGCUCGAUAAUUUCAUUUCAAUGAGUAACGACAUAUUUAUUAAGAAUUAAUAAGUAAGCCAGUAGUUUCCUAAAUACAGUGGUGUUCUCUUUAUCGGAAAAAAGGAAGAUGGCACGAAUCCUAGUGACUUUUCAUCGCGAUACGCUAUAUACGCAUAGUUCUACGUAUAUAUCUGUAUACAUAAUGGGGCCGCAUCGCGCGCCGAUCUCAUUUUUCGAACGCUCGAAAUUUAUUAACCUGUUUGACCGGCGAGAAGUGCGUUAGAUAAUAUUCUCGAGGCUGGUUAUGCAAAUGAGCGCUGCUUGAGUUUGGACCACUGCGGAUGCAUAUUACGUACGGCGUUAAAUCCCUACGACAAUAAAUUCACGACCUGCCAAGGUUUCAGCUGUCCCGAAGCAUUAUUAAUGCUACGUUGCCCGUCUACGUGGGAGGUUAUGUUUUGUCACGUUCAAUUGCGCGGUUACACUGAUCACUUUUUCAUUUCAUAUAAUUCCGACUUCCCCUCUAGGAAGACACUUGACUCAUUACCAGUGCCAUUCAUUGAUAACGUUACUCCUCCUAUCCUAUUGUAUCUGGAAGAACUUUAUGUCGUUGCAGACAAUGACCCGUUAUUACCAGGAUUGAAAUUCUUAUUCGCAAGUAUCAUCAAUUUGGUAAAAUUGUACAGUCAUGACUUGCCGGCGUAAAAGAAAGUUCAAGGCACGGAUUUGCCAAUGGCGAUGCUUGCGCUGACAGUUGGCGCCUGCGCGCCAGGCAACCCGGCUAGCAGACGCGUAUUCCUGUAACAAAGAAUCUUCGGCUUGUAGAUGAUGAGUAUGAUCAACCGUGCUAAUCAGAGCGAGCAUCUUUAACGAUUGCACCGGACCUUCACCUAUUUUCAGUUCUAUGCUAAUCACGCCGAAGAAUGAAUAUGUGCAAUUGGUAAAUUGGCAACAGAGCCGUAUAUUACCGGAUCACACAAAUCCAACUUACAAGAAACGCCAUAGGGCGCGAGCUGUUCAGAUUCUAAUGAUAAAUUAGCACAUGGGUAACUGCCGGAAGUUCUGCCACGGCCCUGCGCUCAUCCGUUGCACACUGCUUCUUCGACUAAAAGUAUCCCGGAGAUAAAUGAGGACAUUCCUGCAAGGACUCAAAAUGCAGUUUAUACUCGUCAGCGAGUAAAUUGUCUGAGAACAGUGCCGUUCUCAGCGCAGAGUCGCUCGGGAGCCGCCGACAAUUCGACUGUGACAAAUCUUAUGUAAACAAAACCAAAGCGUCCUUGUCAUAAACGAAUACCAGACGAAAUUAUUUCAACGAUAGGUUCAACCGAUUAGAUCCUCGUAGCCAAUCUGAUUGUCAACGAAAUGUAAAGCAGUGAAUUUAUAUCACUUCCCGUCGGCAACGGAAACGUUCGACGUCCAACGUCGCGAACGGAAUAACUGAACGAUUGGAAACUAGCUCCGUGCCUUAUUCGUAUGGCGACGCCUAUUUGCGCAGACAACGUUUCUCCACGAAGCGUCGGACGUUUUUCACCGGAGCAAAUAGAAGAUCCACAAUAACUACAGUGGCAUUGAUAAUUCGUUUAAAAUAAUUCAACAACCUCAAGAACGAUCCAAGAUGCAUUUCGUGCAGUUGCAAGUGUAUUAUAUCUUUACUCAAAGUUAAUGUAGUCUACCAUUGUGAAAGUGAACAAGCAACUUCCACAAUUGAGUAACACCUAAGCAUUAAUGAUAAGAGAGACCUUUAUGGCAAUGAAAACCAGAUUUUGAUAAAAACUCAUAUGUACAACUGAUUUUGCAUUUUUUUUUUUCAU